rnacentral:rRNA from 1 species
UACAGAGGUCUCAAGCGUUGUUCGGAUUCAUUGGGCGUAAAGGGUGUGUAGGUGGCGCCGUAAGUCGGGUGUGAAUUUCGGAGCUUAACUCCGAAACUGCAUUCGAUACUGCGGUGCUUGAGGACUGGAGAGGAGACUGGAAUUUACGGUGAGCAGUGAAAUGCGUAGAUAUCGUAAGGAAGACCGUGGCGAAGGCGGGAUCG